GAUGGAACUGUGAGACUCUGAGCGCCUGCUGUCCUGAGGGAAACUUUGGAGGGAACCAGCAACUAGAUGGUUCACUCUGAAGUUUCCCC